rnacentral:rRNA from 1 species
AGAAUGAACGCUGGCGGCGUGCUUUACACAUGCAAGUUGAGCGAGGCCACCCGCAAGGGUGAGUCGAGCGGCGAACGGGUGAGUAACGCGUGGAUAACCUGCCCUUUAGUGGGGAAUAACCCGGGGAAACUCGGGCUAAUACCGCAUAAGACCGAGAGGUGAAAGCGGGGUCGCAAGAUCUCGUGCUAAUGGGAGGGGUCCGCGUUCGAUUAGCUAGUUGGUAGGGUAAUGGCCUACCAAGGCGACGAUCGAUAGCCGGCCUGAGAGGGUGAUCGGCCACACUGGAACUGAGACACGGUCCAGACUCCUACGGGAGGCAGCAGUGGGGAAUUUUGCGCAAUGGGCUAACGCCUGACGCAGCAACGCCGCGUGGAGGAUGAAGGUCUUUGGAUUGUAAACUCUGUCCAGCGAAGGGAAAAAGGACUAGGAACCUAAGUACGUCUAGGACUUGAUUGUACCUGACUAGACGAACGCCCCGGACUAACUCUGUCGCCAGCGACGCCGAC